UAAUUCUCGCUGAAACAGGUGGGACAAGCCCAUUCCAUUCUCUCGACUAAAACAGAAAAUUAAAAACACCCUCUCUGUUUACACUUUACACCUGCGCUGUUCUAUCUCUCCCACUCCACCGAUCUCAAAAAGCUCAGUGUCCGACAUUUCAACGAUUCUUCUACCAUUUUCAACGAUUUUCAAACCUCAAUCUAUCAAAGCAUACAGAAAUUUUCGUCAGGGAUCGCAUAGUUGCAUGACAAGCCAGCAAUUUGUGGAUUUUAUACAUGAGCAGCUGCAAUCGGAAUUUCGCAAGAUUGGAACCGAUAGGUGGGAGUUCGCAAAUGAAAGUUUUCUGCCCGGGCAACGGCAUCUGUUGAAGAACAUAUAUAGGCGCAAUUCACCUCAUUCUCAACAGGCCGAGAAUACAGUUGGAUCCUCACUUGAAUUACGGAAACCAGCAGUUGAAGCCCUGCAGGUGUUGCGGUUCUACAGUAUUUUAUUUGUAAAUUAUGGAGAAGAAUUGGCGGUGGCCAAAGUUUGGAUUUUAUUUGUAAAUUUUUAAUAUUUAUCAUAGUUGAUUUAGGUAUUAAUUAUUUGUGUAAUGAAAUGGGAAGUAUGCUAUUGAUAUGGAAAUUAAUUAAUUUAUGUAUUUAA